ACGUAUGAUUGUAUUAACUAGUACAUUUAUCAGUUUGACCCGUACGUUUUGUUCGUUUAACUAAAUUUAAAACGUCACUUCCGGUUACCUUUUCAUUCAUCCUUUAGUUUGGUAACCGAUGACGUCACUUCCGGUUUUGUGUAGUUGUGUUGACCUAUGUUAUGUGUGCGUUGCGAGCCCUGUGGUCUGUCCACGUUGACAGACGAGGCGUUUUCCUGUGUUCUGUCAUUUCCUAGUGUGAUGAGUGUAACAAUCCUGAUACAAUUUUGCGUAUCUAAAAUGGUUAAGAUAAAAUUUAAAGCUUAUCAACGCAGGAAUUCUCCAAUGUUAUCAAAGUAGUUAAAUUUGCUUCCUGUAAUACGCUCUGCAUUUUUAUGAAUCGUUAAAUCAAGACGAGACAGAAUGAUGACACAGCUUGAAUUGACAUUCCGCUUACUCUUUAUCGUCCAAUGUGUGAAAUUAUCGCCAAUCUCUUUCAAGGUAAUAUUUUUCUCAUUGUACAUUCCGAUCACAGAUAUUAUAAAGAUAAUCCAAUUUUAAUUAUUAGUUAGCCUGCGUCCAAUAAAUUCCAUUAAAUAAGAUUCCAACAUUUGCAUGUCGUCCAAAUAUUAAUCUUGUCGGUAAGAUAAGAUGGUGCACGUGCAGCACAUCUACAUGUCGUUUACUGAAAAAUCCAUUUACGUUGCGCUGCUAUCAAGAGAUUUUCAUUUUAGGUAAUGUUUUUUUAAGGAAACACAAAAUAUUACCAACUCCAAAAUAUUACCAACUCCAAAGCGUCUUCUCUUUGUGCCUAGCUUAUAAUGAUAAUGCCCAUCUUCGAAUUACAAGGAACGGUCGUGUCUUAAUUUAACAUCAUUGUCACAAAUUCCGUGGAUUCAUGUCUGAAUUUCGUUUUUGUCAUUCUACAUCAUUGAUCUCAUCUUGUUACAAUGUCCUAAGAAACCGGGGACGUGUCAGUUCAUGGAAAAUCGUUUUUUUCCCUGCUUUCCCCCCCGAUAAUUGAUUUUUGUAACGUAUUCAUCAAGCCAAUUACCCAAAAACUAACGGUGUGCAAAUAUGAUGAGUCAAUCACAAGGGACCUUAUUGAAAUAACAUCCUAAUCCAUCACUAUAGGGACCUUAUUGAAAUAACAUCCUAAUCCAUUACUAUAGGGACCUUAUUGAAAUAACAUCCUAAUCCAUUACUAUAGGGACCUUAUUGAAAUAACAUCCUAAUCCAUCACUAUAGGGACCUUAUUGAAAUAACAUCCUAAUCCAUCACUAUAGGGACCUUAUUGAAAUAACAUCCUAAUCCAUUACUAUAGGGACCUUAUUGAAAUAACAUCCUAAUCCAUUACUAUAGAGACCUUAUUGAAAUAACAUCCUAAUCCAUCACUAGGGACCUUAUUGAAAUAACAUCCUAAUCCAUUACUAUAGAGACCUUAUUGACAUAACAUCCUAAUCCAUUACUAUAGGGACCUUAUUGAAAUAACAUCCUAAUCCAUCACUAUAGGGACCUUAUUGAAAUAACAUCCUAAUCCAUUACUAUAGAGACCUUACUGAAAUAACAUCCUAAUCCAUCACCAUAGGGACCUUAUUGAAAUAACACCCUAAUCCAUUACUAUAGGGACCUUAUUGAAAUAACAUCCUAAUCCAUUACUAUAGGGACCUUAUUGACAUAACAUCCUAAUCCAUUACUAUAGGGACCUUAUUGAAAUAACAUCCUAAUCCAUCACUAUAGGGACCUUAUUGACAUAACAUCCUAAUCCAUUACUAUAGGGACCUUAUUGACAUAACACCCUAAUCCAUUACUAUAGGGACCUUAUUGAAAUAACAUCCUAAUCCAUCACUAUAGGGACCUUAUUGAAAUAACAUCCUAAUCCAUUACUAUAGGGACCUUAUUGAAAUAACAUCCUAAUCCAUCACUAUAGGGACCUUAUUGAAAUAACAUCCUAAUCCAUUCACUAUAGCGACCUUAUUGAAAUAACAUCCUAAUCCAUUACUAUAGGUACCUUAUUGAAAUAACAUCCUCCGUGCCAUACGCGAUGUAUAUCCGGCAUAACUAACAUAAUUAUAAACGUUUCCAUAAAUACCGCCAAUUUAGUUUGUCGACAGGCGUUUAAGUGUGCUGUCAGCAAGAUAAAUUAUGUCUAACGACGUGGACGAAAUCUCAAGUCUAAUUUGUUAUUUCUUGUAAAACAAUUUAUGUGGUAGAUGACAUACGUUCUCGGACCUGAGGAUUGUUGAUGGCGUGCAUCCACGUCUCCCCUACGGUAUACGAUACAUUUCGGCUGAUUGAACGUUAGGGUUAAAUAGUUAUAUUAAAUCAGCACGAGCUUAACAUUUAAAACAGAAUAAACGUGUCCUAUGCUUUCGAAAAUCAAAAUAUUAUGUCUAUUAUUAAAAUUUGUAUGGUCUUUCUAUCGAUACAUGAUUAUACUAUUAUUUUAUACAUAUCGGUGACAGUCGGGAAUCCCAAUUAAAUUCUAAUUUUAAAAUUUUAAAAUUUUAAAUCAAAUCUUAUAAUCGGUAAAAUCAGCAUUUACCCGUAUGUUAGUUUUAGUGUAAACUUGGAAAUCCUAUAGAAAACAUAAAGAUAUAUUAUUUCAGACUUUUUUUAACCAUGAGCUUACCUCGCCCCUGCCUUAAUUUAAAAGCUUCAAGCCACAGAUACUUCUAUGUUCUGAUGUUCUCGCGGAUUUGAUAUCCGGUGCUUAUAUUGGUAUAUACGAUACCGUUAUACCGUAAAACAUGGUAUAUAAAUAGUGUACUAGCACUUCUCCAUGUAUAUUAGUAUAACGACUUACCGUGAAGUCAAACUUUUCCUUGGAUUACGUAUACACGGCAAACAACUGGAUCGGAUAUCAGUUAUACAGAUGAUUACGGCCGAUAAGCUGGGAGUCGACCACUUUAUAACCUGAUACUGACAUCGAGUAGUUAAUACAUAGUGUUGUGUGGUGUAAUGUUAAAACACGAUUAACCGUGUAAUUGAGAGUAGCUGGGUGAUCGGCCUUAGUAGGCCAUAUCAUGAUAAUAUCUAUACUUAAUAACGUUUAAUUGAAUAUGUUCAAUGGUAAAUAAUUGUCACAAGAAAAUGAACACGUUCAGUAUGUGGUGAACAUAGCCAUGCGAUAGCUGAUUUUAAUGAGGUUGUUAAAGAGCUAAACGUGAAAUAAGUUGAUAGUUGAUACUCAGACAACUACAUUGUACUUAGCUUAAACGGAAACGAGCCUAACUCAGAGACAACUAGUACAUUGUACUUAGCUUAAACGGGAAACGAGAGAAAAAUACUUCAGACAUGGAUGGGAAAACGGCAAUGAAAUAAUCUGUAGACAGGGAUGGGAAAACGGCAAUGAAACAAUAUGUAGACAGGGGAUGGGAAAACGGCAAUGAAACAAUAUGUAGACGGGGGAUGGGAAAACGGCAAUGAAACAAUCUGUGGACAGGGGAUGGGAAAACGGCAAUGAAACAAUAUGUAGACGGGGGAUGGGAAAACGGCAAUGAAACAAUCUGUGGACAGGGGAUGGGAAAACGACAAUGAAACAAUAUGUAGACAGGGGAUGGGAAAACGGCAAUGAAACAAUAUGUAGACGGGGAUGGGAAAACGGCAAUGAAACAAUAUGUAGACGGGGGAUGGGAAAACGGCAAUGAAACAAUAUGUAGACGGGGGAUGGGAAAACGGCAAUGAAACAAUCUGUGGACAGGGGAUGGGAAAACGGCAAUGAAACAAUAUGUAGACGGGGAUGGGAAAACGACAAUGAAACAAUCUGUGGACAGGGGAUGGGAAAACGGCAAUGAAACAAUAUGUAGACGGGGGAUGGGAAAACGACAAUGAAACAAUAUGUAGACGGGGAUGGGAAAACGGCAAUGAAACAAUAUGUAGACAGGGGAUGGGAAAACGACAAUGAAACAAUCUGUGGACAGGGGAUGGGAAAACGGCAAUGAAACAAUAUGUAGACGGGGGAUGGGAAAACG